UACCAAGGCGAUGAUGCAUAGCCGAGUUGAGAGACUGAUCGGCCACAUUGGGACUGAGACACGGCCCAAACUCCUACGGGAGGCAGCAGUAGGGAAUCUUCCACAAUGGACGCAAGUCUGAUGGAGCAACGCCGCGUGAGUGAAGAAGGGUUUCGGCUCGUAAAGCUCUGUUGUUGGUGAAGAAAGGACAGGGGUAGGUAACUAGACCGUUUCGUUUUGUACGGUAAGUACAAUUAACGAAAGUACACGGCGUAACUAACGUGCCACGCAGCCGCGGUAAGUA
rnacentral:rRNA from 1 species